AUGAAUCAGGGAAGCGAGAAGAAGAGAGAAAAGAGAAGACGAAGGGGAGAAGAAGAUGGGUUCGUGGGUUUUCUCCUCCGGAAACGGCAGCGGCGUUUCCGCUCCGGUGAAGGUUAGCUCUUGUCCUCUUCUCCGAUGACGUUGAUGCGGUGGCUUCAAUUCCCUUCUCUGUUAUGACCCGAAAGCGGCUCGAAUUUGUGGCUCGAAAUCGAUAGAACCACAAGGAUUCGGUAGUUGCAACCAUCAUUUGGUAUUCUUUAACUUUUUGCAGGGAGUAGUAAAACAUAUUGAGUAAGGAGUUGUAGGUUUGAUAAAUCAUAGCUGUUACAACCAAAAUCCCCCCGUGUUGUGCUGAAAUCCUCCUCCAACCAAUGCAUAAUGUCAGUGAUAGCAUUUGGUACUGCAUCAUUCGGAACCGUUCUUGAAGCUUCUCUCGAUCCUAUAUUAAGCUCUCCAGCUUAUACUUUGUGAUGAUAAUAGGAGUCAUGGUGGACAAUGAUCUUUUAUUUGGUUGAAUGAAACUUGUUGG